AUGCAGUCCAACUAGCAAAGCUCGGAAACACUCAUGUCACAGCCACCUGUGGAGCUCGUAACGUCGAAUUGGUUAAGAGCUUAGGGGCAGAUGAAGUUCUUGACUACAAGACCCCGGAUGGGGCAGCUCUGAAGAGCCCGUCUGGCCGGAAAUAUGAUGCUGUGAUCAACUGUGCAACCGGCAUCGCUUGGUUAACUUUUGAGCCUAAUUUGAGUGCAAAAGGGAAAGUUAUAGACAUUGCCCCAAAUGCAAGUUCUUUCACUACAUUUCUUUUGAAGAAACUCACUUUCUCCAAGAAGUCCUUGGUGCCAUUGCUCAUGAUCCCCAAGGCUGAGAGCUUGGAUUAUCUUGUUAAUUUGGUGAAGGAAGGAAAGCUCAAGACGGUGAUCGACUCAAAGCAUCCCAUAAGCAAGGCUGAAGAUGCUUGGGCUAAGAGUAUUGAUGGCCAUGCUACGGGGAAGAUCAUUGUGGAGCCUUAGGUAGCCAAAAUAUUAUAUCUUCAAAUUGUGAAGUACAUGUACUUAUAUUAAGGAUUGUAAACUUCAUACACUUUUUUUGGGACUGUAAAUUUCAUGUGGAUUAGAGCAUCUCCAACCGAUAUCUCAAAGAGGAAUGCUAGCAACCUUCUCCUUUGGAUCUUCUCCAUUUUUUGCUUGACAUGUGUCAUUAUCCUUACACUUAAAACAAUGUCAUUAAUAUAUUAUACAAGCUAACUUUUGCUUUUCAAGUUUACUCUUAUUAAAUGUAUUGAAUUUAUCCAAAAAAAUUUCAAAACUUUCUUACCAUCUUAUUAAUUUUUUUCUAAAGAAAAUAUAUGCUUUUAAGAGGAAAUGUCCGGUUUUUUUUUUUAAUUUAAAUUUUUUUUAUUUUUAACACAAAGGGUUUAGAUAGAAAAAAAAAAAAAAAAGUCCUUUGUGUUUUUAAAAAAACGGACAUUUCCUCUUUUUUGAAAAAAUCGUAUAUUUUCUUUAAAAAAAUAAUUGACGUUAAAAAAAAAUGAUGGUAAGAAAGUUGUGAAUUUUUUUUUUGGAUAAAUUGAAUACAUUUAAUAAGGGUAAAAUUUGAAUAGCAAAAGUUAACUUGUAUAAUAUAUUAAUGACAUUGUUUUAAGUGUAAGGAGAAUGACACAUGUCAAGUAAAAAAUGGAGAAGGUCCAAAAGAGAAGGUUAGAGAGAAGGUUGCUAGCAUUCCCCUAUGUCAAAAGUGUCACAUAACCAUUUAACGGCUAGAAAUAACAUUGCACAUCACUCCAACCGAUGUGUCAAAGUGGAUGUGGAAUGAAGGCUGGAAGUUUAGAUGUUAUUUUUGACAUCUCAAAAGCAUGAUGUCAAAUGAAUAUUUUAUUAUUAUUCUUUUCUUUUCUUUUUAAUUAAAAAUAAAUCAACACUAAAAUUUAAUAAAAUAAUAAUUUAAUUUGACAUAUUGGGUGGAGUGUAAAGCUGUGUAAGAUGUCAAAUUGCCACAUCAGCUAUUAAAUUUAAAUUUGAUGUUUGGUAUUUGACAUCUUCCUUGGAGAUGCUCUUAGAACAACGUAUUAAUACUUUGUACAUUUUUCUUUAUUUUGUUGAGAAAUUCAAGAGUUAUAAGGUAUUUUUGAGUGAAACUAGGCUCCGAUACUAAUACGAGCUCAUGAGUAGAACUUUCCCCUAAAAAUCGGUUUGUAAAAAUUUGAUUCAAAGCGGCAAUCAGAACUUGCAAAAAAAAGAAUAAAUUUUUUGAUUCAAUUGUCGACCUGCACAUUAUAAAAUCCAAACAUCUUCGGGAGCACAAUCUAAUUAUCUAUGGCACUUUUUAAAGAAAGUACAACCUAUACAUAGUAUACAUAAAAAUGCAGGGUAUUUCCGUCAUUUUAAUUAAUAUUACAGUUGGCAACUUGAGAUGCAUCCACGUGUGGUAUACGUCAAAAACCUUCCACAAGAAUCUAGUAACGCUUCCUCUCUCUCUCUCUCUCUCUCUCUCUCUGUUCAAAUCUUGGAUCUUUCCUUUCUCUUUUGUCUCUGCCGACUCAGGUUAUGGCAGCAGCCAUGGCGUCGAAGCUUAUGCAUGCGGUUCAGUACGACAGCUACGGUGGAGGAGCUUCUGGUUUAAAGGUUCUUUCUUUUUCUACUUGUUUACUUUCAUCUUUCAUUCCUGCUGUGAUUUUUGCUUCUGGUAUUUUGUUAACCGCUUAAUAUUCGGUGGUGUGUAAAAGAAGAAAAAAAAACUGUAUUAACUUUUAGAGUGGUGGGUGGGAGAGUUCAGGCUUAAAAUUGAUUGCAUCAAAAAUAUUUUUGGCCAUGAAAUCCAAAAGGAAAAACGAGAAACAGAACAACCAAUGAGAAAAUGCUUCAGGGUUGUGUUGAAUAUUUACUUACUUGUAGAGAACUUGAAAAUUGUUUAUAAUUUAUGUUUGUUUGCAGCAUGCGGAGGUUCCAGUCCCCACUCCAAAGAAAGGUGAUAUCUUGCUGAAAUUGGAAGCUGCUAGUUUAAACCCAGUUGAUUGGAAAAUUCAGAAAGGCAUGUUUCGGCCUCUUUUGCCACGCAAAUUCCCUCAUAUACCUGGUAAGUGCUGUUUUGCCUGGUGUUGUAGUUGUGUAUUUCAGAUCUAUGCAUCUUUGACAUUAUAAUAUAGAAAUUAUUCCACAACACCAAAAAAAAAAGGUUAUGCCUUUUUGGCACACCGGUGUUUCUGGGAUGACCAACAUGCUAUCAAACUCAACUGAAAAAUGAAUAAAAAAUUGAAUGCUCUCUCGGUGACAUGAAUUGACGACUCCAGUUUUUUACCUGCCUCCUUUACAGACUCUGCUGUGCUUGUUUUUGCAAAUCUUUUAUCACUGCCUGUAGUUUUUGGUGAUGUGAAAUUUACUCAAUUUUGUUAAGUUCAACUAGAAUUUGCCUGUUCCCAGAAACAGUUAACUUUCUGGGAACGUAUUGAUUGAUAAACUAUUUGAUCUUGAUUAAUUACUGCAUCAUUGGAACAUAAAGCAUACCCACUGUGUCUUGAAGAGAUUGCCAUCUAUGAAGAAGUGAAUAUUGAAAAGUGAUCAUAAUGGUUACGGAUUAAUAUAUUUCAGUAAAAUCUCUCAUUCAGACUUUAUUCAUUUGUGGAAGUAUUGCAAGAGUUGAGGUAGAAAAGUUAAACAAAUUUGUGCUUUGAUUUUUAAGUGGAUGAAUAUCAUUCAUAUAUUGUUAGAAGAGUUGUUUUGUGAGUCAUAGGCUGAUAGGUUGGUUUGAUAACAUUGUUUAGCUAAUGACAAUCUUGGGAACAGUUACUGAUGUUGCUGGAGAGGUUGUAGAAGUUGGACAAGGGGUCCAAAAGUUCAAACCGGGCGACAAAGUUGUGGCAUUUCUCACCCACACUGUAAGUGUUCAUUUUAUUCCUUUGGUUAAGCUCUCCAUUUCUUGAGGAAGUUUCACUUAUAAAUCUCAUUUGUUUGUUAGAAUGGAGGUGGACUAGCUGAAUUUGCUGCAGCUAGUGAGAGCUUGACAGUUGCCAGGCCACCUGAAGUUUCAGCGGCUGAUGGUGCAGGCUUACCUGUUGCUGGUCUCACAGCUCACCAGGCUCUCACCCAAGCUGCAGGGGUCAAGCUUGACGGAUCUGGCCAGCAAAAGAACAUAUUGAUUACUGCUGCCUCUGGUGGUGUGGGUCAGUAUGCAGUCCAACUAGCAAAGCUCGGAAACACUCAUGUUACAGCCACGUGCAGUGCUCGUAACAUCGAAUUUGUCAAGAGCUUGGGGGCAGAUGAGGUUCUCGACUACAAGACCCCAGAAGGAGCAGCUCUGAAUAGUCCAUCUGGUAGGAAAUAUGAUGCUGUGGUCCAUUGUGCUACGGGCAUUCCCUGGUCAACUUUCGAGCCUAAUUUGAGCGCCAACGGGAAGGUUAUAGACCUUACUCCUAGUCCAAGUGCCUUUGCUACUUUUGCUCUGAAGAAACUCACCUUCUCCAAGAAGCAGCUGGUGCCACUGUUCAUGAGUGCCAAGAGUGAGAACCUUGAUUAUCUUGUCAAGUUAGUGAAGGAAGGAAAGCUCAAGACUGUGAUCGACUCGAAGCAUCCUCUGAGCAAGGCUGAAGAUGGUUGGGCUAAGAGUAUUGAUGGACAUGCAACUGGGAAGAUAAUUGUGGAGCCUUAAGUAGACAAACGAAAACUAUAGUGGGAUAUAAACCUCACGUACUUGAUGGAAGUUGUUUGAUACAGAUAGUUAUGUCAUGUGUAAUAUAAAAUUAUAUAAUAAUGUGGGGUUUUAUAAUCCUGAAUCAAUAUUGUAAAUAUUGAGGUUUGGAUUAUAUAUUGUUCAUUUUCAUGUUGAUUAUAUUUCACAGUAAAUUCAUAUAGUUCUCUCAAAAACGAAUUUACUCGGUUAUCAAACCAGUAAUAUGGGUUUAGACUCUAGAGAGAGAUGACGAUGGUUGAUAUAAUCAAAUGAAAUAUAAAUAUAUAAAAAAUAGAAAGCCGAAGCAUCAUGAAUCAUGAACAAUUCUACUCUGUUUUACUAUAGACGUGGGCUAAUUACGCACUAGCAACAACGCAAGCUUACUUCAUAAAAUCUGAGACGAGUUUCAAGUUCUGUCGAUUCUUCUGAACAAAACUGAGGGAAGCCUAGGGUGGCAACAAAAAAAAAAAACUGAGGGAGGCUAUGGCGAAAAAUGUUAUGCAUGCAGGCUGUGGUGGUGGACGACCUUCUGGCUUAGAGGUUAUUCAAAUUACAUUUCUUCAAUUUCUAAAUAAAAGUUUCCCUCUGUCAAAUUAGUUUCCUUUUGUUUCUCUUGAAUUAUACUCUCUGUUUGUCCUUGAAGAAAAACCCUUUUACAUUACACGAUCAACUUGUCCACUAUAAACCCCAUGAAAAUUAAAUCACAUGGUGCCUAAUGGAUCUUUUUUCAAGUACUUGUUUGAGUAAAUCAAAAUUUGAAAUGUUGUGAAGGAAAAGAUAAAGGGAGUCUUUUCUGAGUUUUCUUCUUUCCUUUUGCUAAUGUUUUUAUGUUGGGAGAAGGGAUACGGGUUGAGAAAAACUUGCAUGUCACGUGAUAGCACAUAUUAAGCGUGGCAUAACGUGAUUGAUUGGGGAUAGCAAAACAGUGCUAUCCCCAUGACAUGCAAAUUCUUCUUUCUUCUCGUAAGGGUGUGGUGGAGGUUGUGGUUGAGAAUGACCAAGACUAGCUUUUGUACUUGGAAAGGAAACAUACAAUUUGUUUAUGCAUUGAAGAACAUAUUAUUGUUAAGUCAUUGGCCCUUAAUCAAUUUUGGUGCUAAUUGCAGCAUGUUGAAAUUCCAAUUCCAAAUUCAUACAAAGAUCAAGGGAGAGGUGUUGCUGAAAUUGGAGGUGGCUAGUCUAAAGUCAACCCCAUUUGAUUGGAAUGGAAAGUUUGAGAAAGGUAUGCCGUGGACUUUGUUGCCUCCCACCAAUUUUCACACGUACCUCAUGUGACAGCCACUCGCACUUUUGUGGAGCUCGUAGCCUUGACUUGGUCAAGACCUCAGAAGGAGCAAGCAGCUCUACAAGAGAAGAGUCCAUCUCCAUUUGGUCCAAAAUAUGAUGCUGUGAUGUGAUCCAUUAGGCAUUCCUCUGUCAACUUUUCAGCCUAAUUUGAGUGCCACUGGUAUGAUGCUGCUGUGAUUCUAAUGCGAACUCAUGAGUAGAACUUGCCUCUAAAAACCGAAUUGUAAAAGUUUGGUUCAACUCGGCAAUCAGAAUUUUCCAAAUUUUUUUUUUAAAGUUCGAUUCAAUUUUCGGCCAACACAUUGUGAAAAUCAAAACUUUUUGAAAGAAAGCACAACCUAUAGCACUUUUCAAAGAAAGCACAGCCUAUAUAUACGUCAAAACCAUUCCACAAGAAUGUAGUAACACGUCCUCUCUCUCUCUCUCUCUCUCUCUCUCGUAAAAUCUAGGAUCUUUCCUUUCUCGUCUGUCUCUGCUGACUCAGGGUAUGACAUUGGCAGCCAUGGCGACAAAGCUUAUGCGUGCGGUUCAGUACAACAGCUAUGGUGGAGGAGCUUCUGGUUUAAAGGUUCCUUCUUUAUCUACUUGUUUCUUCUAUCAAUGUUAUUUGGUAUAAUUCUCUCAUAUUUCAUUCCCUGCUGUGAUUUUUGCUUCUGACAUUUUGUUAACCGCUUAAUAUUCUCUGGUGCGUAAAAAAAAGAAAAAAAAAUGCAUCAACUUUUAGAGUGGUGGGAGAGUUCAGGCUUAAAACUGAGUGCAUCCUAAAUAUGUUUGGCCUUGAAAUCCCAAAGGGAAAAAAGAGAAACUGAACAACCAGUGAGAAAAUGCUUCAGGGUUGUGUUGAAUGUUUACUUGCUUGUGCCUCUUCUUUGCUUUUCAAAAGCAAUAAAUCCAUGGACGAAAUCAUACAAGUGUAAAAAGACCUUAAUAAAUUGUUUUAAAUAUAUUUUAUGUUUGGUGCAGCAUGUAGAGGUUCCAGUGCCCACUCCAAAGAAAGGUGAGAUCUUGCUGAAAUUGGAAGCAGCUACUAUGAACCCGGUUGAUUGGAGAAUUCAGAAAGGCAAGAUGCGGCCUUUUUUUCCACCCAAAUUCCCUCAUAUACCUGGUAAGUUCUGUUUUGCCUGGUUUUCCCCUAAACCCCUUCUUAUAUUCAUAUCAUUCAAUUGGUAGCAUAUAAGCUGCAACAUACUGAUCAACAAACUGCCUGAUUUUUAUUAAUUACUACAUCAUUGGAACAUAAAGCAUACGCUCUGUGUCCCAAAAGAAUUUUCCUCUUUGAGGAAGUGAUCAUAAUGGUUACAGAUUAAUACAUCUUGACUCUCGAUAAAAUCUCUCAUUGAGACUUUUAUUCAUUUGUGGAAGUAUUGAGAGAGUUGAGGUAGAUAAAUUAGUUGGAUUCCGAAACAAAUUUGUGCUUCGACUUUUAAAAUGGGUGAACAUCAUUCCUAUGUUACGAGAAGAGUUUUGUGAUUUAUACAAGCAGUGUUUGUGAGUCUUAGGCUGGUAGGUUGGUUUGUUAACAGUGAUUGGCUAAUGAAAAUAUUGGGAACAGCUACUGAUGUUGCUGGAGAGGUUGUAGAAGUUGGAAAAGGGGUCCAAAAGUUCAAACCGGGCGACAAAGUUGUGGCAUAUCUCACCCUCGCUGUAAGCCUUCAUUGUAUUCCUUUGGUUAAUCUCUCCCUUUCUUGAAGAAUUUAUUGCACUUGGCAACAAGUUUCACUUAUAAAUUUCGUUUGUUUGUUAGAAUGGAGGUGGACUGGCUGAGUUUGUCACAGCUAGUGAGAGCUUGACAGUUGCCAGGCCACCUGAAGUUUCAGCAGCUCAAGGUGCAGGCUUACCUAUUGCUGGUCUCACAGCUCUCCAGGCUCUCACCCAAGCUGCAGGGCUUAAUCUCGACGGAAGUGGCCAGAAAAAGAACAUCUUGAUUACUGCUGCCUCUGGUGGUGUGGGUCAGUAUGCAGUCCAACUAGCAAAGCUCGGAAACACUCAUGUUACAGCCACAUGCGGUGCUCGUAACAUCGAAUUUAUCAAGAGCUUGGGGGCAGAUGAGGUUCUUGACUACAAGACCCCAGAAGGAGCAGCUCUGAUUAGCCCAUCUGGUAGGAAAUAUGACAUCGCUGUCCAUUGUGCAAUAACGGGCAUUCCCUGGUCAACUUUCAAGCCUAAUUUGAGCGCCAACGGGAAGGUUAUAAACAUUACUCCUGGUCCAAGUACCUGGGCUGCUAUUGCUCAGAACACACUCACCUUCUCCAAGAAGCAGCUGGUGCCACUGCUCUUGUGGGCUAAGAGUGAGAACCUUGAUUAUCUUGUCAAGUUAGUCAAGGAAGGAAAGCUCAAGACAGUGAUCGACUCUAAGCACCCUCUAAGCAAGGCUGAAGAUGCUUGGGCUAAGAGUAUUGAUGGACAUGCAACUGGGAAGAUAAUCGUGGAGCCUUAAGUAGAAAACUAUAGUGGGAUAUAAACUUCAUGUCUUUAAUGGGAGUCGUUUGUUCUUUGGUCGAAAUAAUGGAAGUCGUUCGAUACAGAUGGUUAUGUGCAAUUAAUGGGGUAAUUAUACAAUUUUGGUCGUUGGGAUUUGAUGGAUAUGAUAGAGGUUAGGAUGGGGUGGUUUUGUCUUUUUCUUGUUGUCUUUUUUUAAUUUUAUAUAUUUGAUUUAAAAUUUUUAUUUAAUGUUUAGGACAAUAAAGCUCCUACCAAACUAACGGAAUUGAAGGCUUUGACUUGAUUUGUUAACGACAGCAAGUACAAUGAUGAAAUCGGGAAAAUUAAAAUCACAGUGACUAAAAUUGUUUGUUUAUUUGUUUUUUUUUUUUUAAUACAAACGAUAUUGGAGAGGGAAAAUCAAACUUAGAAACUCAAAUGCAAGAUUAAUACUUUUAACCAUUUGAAAUAAAACUAUCUCGCUAAUGUGAGGUUUUUUUAUAAUCAUGAAUCAAUGUUGUAAAUAAUGAGGUUUGGAUUUAUUGUUCAUUUUCAUGUUGAUUAUAUUUCACAGUAAUUCAUUUGGUUCUCUCAAAAAAGAUCAGUCACCAAGCAAGUAAUAUGAGUUUAGAGACCCUAGCAAAAAUGAAAUAUAAAUAAGAAAAUAGAAAGCAGAAGCGUUACGAAUCAUGAAACAAAUCUACUCUGUUCCUAGCCAAAAAUAAAAAUAAAAAUAAAAAUAAAUGAAAACUAGUACUUGUAUAAGAAUAAGAGGUUGAAAAUGGGAGGAGCUGGAGAGAAAAAGUGAUUGUGUGAUGAGUUCCUAUCUCAGGCAGCACACUGAGGCAUGGCGGGAUCUCGGUCUGUGGGGUCAACCUUGAUCACUUAUUUUGUCGAUGUGGGACUUUUGGCAAUCAUCCUCUUCCUCUCAUGCCAAAGUACCUGGCUGCUCGAUUCAGAAGCAAACCCUCCGAAGGGACGGGCCACUAGUUGGCCAUGCCGAAUGUUGCAGCAAUGAUACCAGCUGUGUGAAGCCCACACAACGAUCCGAAUCUGGAAAGUCCGAGUACGACGAGCCAGAUUGAAGUCGGUGAGGCACGGAACGACGCCAUUGUGGUCAAUGUGUAUUUAUCUUAUGAUACCAUCCCGCCGCUAACCAUUCUAUUUCUUCCACCUCAUCUUCCUGUCGCACAACCUCAUCAACAAGAUAACUCAAAGUCUUCCUGUUACUCUGAUGGUCAAGAGAAGUGUAUGCGUUUAUAGAUGACACGUUUUCUUUAUUGCGGGUGACAUAGAACAUAUGUAUGAGUUUGUUCCACGAUAGACGUGGGCUAUUUAGUCAAUUCACAUGUCUCACAGUGGUGUACGUUGCACCCAAGCUUACUUCUUAAAAUCUGAGAGGAGCUUCAAGUUCUGUCGACUCUUCUGAACAAAACUGAGGCCAUGGCAAAAAAUGUUAUGCAUGCGGUUCAGUAUGAUGGCUACGGUGGAGGACCUUCUGGCUUAAAGGUUACUCAUUUGGUUUCCCUCUGUCAAAUUAGUUUCCUUUCUUUUGUUUCUCUUGAAUUAUACUCUCUGAUUGUCCUUGAAGAAAAACCCUUUUCCACUAUAAGAAAAUUAAUUGAAACCCAUUUUCACAUGGUGUCCAAACCUUGUAAUGAAAUGGGCAGGUGACAUAAUGGGUCCUUUUUCAAGUACUUGUUAUUGUUAAGAGUAAUUGAAUACUUGAAAUGUUAAGAAGGAAAAUAUAAAGGGAGAGGCUUUUCUGAGUUUUCUCCUUUCCAUGUUUUUUUCUGCUGGGGGAGGGGGGAGGAGGGGGCAGGGGUUGAGGUCGUGGUUGAGAAUGACCAAGACUAACUUUUGUACUUGGGAAACAUUCAAUUUGUUUAUGCAUUGAAGAACAUAUUAUUGUUAAGUCAUUGGCCCUCACUCAAUUUUGGUGCUAAUUGCAGCAUGUUGAAAUUCCAAUUCCCAAUCCAAACAAAGAUGAGGUGUUGCUGAAAUUGGAGGCAGCUAGUCUAAACCCAUUUGAUUGGAAAGUUCAGAAAGGCAUGCUGUGGCCAUUGUUGCCUCGCAGAUUUCCACACAUACCUGGUAAUUUGGUUUUGCUAUCUUCUUGAGACACUCUGCUGUCUAGGGGGUGCUUUUCAUGUAAACACCUCUUUAAUUAUGCUGCUUUCCAAAUAUUAUAUUGAGCUUCGUCUUGAAAACGUAGGGUGAGUGUUCCGUAAACGCUUAACAUGCUAAUAAUUUGCAUUUGAAUGUUCUGUUUUCUUAUUCAUUUGGUCCAAAUAGCUUCUGGGGUAGCCUUUUUGUGUUUUUGGGAGGGAAUGAGUAUGCAUUUUCUUUGAUGAGAUUUAAAACCUAAUGUAUUGAACUUUUACUGGACCAUCUUUUUCUGAGUAUUGUUAUGUUGACUGAAGAUAUUCCUUGUUGAAAUUUGGAACAGGUACUGAUGUGGCAGGAGAGGUUGUACAGGUAGGACCAGGAGUGAAAAAAUUCAAAGCUGGUGACAAAGUUGUAGCUAUGGUUAACCCUCUUGUAAGUGUCCAUAUGUUUUGGUUCACUUGACAUGAAAAUGUUCGCCAUUUCACUUGAACAUGUAUAUACUUCAGAACAUAAUAUAGCUUUUCUUUCCAUAAAACAUCUAUGAAUAAUUUUCUACCUAUUUGUAAAGUAGUAUCCAUUGAUCCACCAGAAUCCUUGUGUCUGUAAACCCUCAGUAACCCCUCGUCGGUAUUUUGUGCCUCUUUCCCUAGUGUCAUUACAGUUGGCAUGAAACUGAAAUUUUGCAUGUAGAAACCAUUCCUAAUGCGCUGAAUUUGAAAUCCAGGUGGUAGAAUGUCUCACUUAUAAUAUGUCAUGCAUCAUUUAAUUGAUACAUGCUUAGCCUGUUUGUCUGUUUCGUCUGUUCAUGGAUAUUGAAUUUUAGAAUGGAGGUGGACUAGCUGAGCUUGCCGUGACUAAGGAAAGCUUGACUGCUACAAGGCCACCUGAAGUUUCAGCGGCCACUGCCGUAGGAUUACCUGUUGCUGGUCUCACUGCUCACCAGGCCCUUAUCCAAUCUGCUGGGAUCAAGCUUGAUGGAAGUGGUGAGGAAGCAAACAUUCUGAUCACAGCUGCUUCUGGCGGUGUAGGUCUCUAUGCAGUUCAACUAGCAAAGCUUGGAAACACUCAUGUGACAGCCACUUGUGGAGCUCGUAACCUUGAAUUUGUCAAGAGCCUAGGUGCUGAUGAGGUUAUUGACUACAAGACCCCAGAAGGAGCA
rnacentral:lncRNA from 1 species